GACAGAGGUUGCAAACGUUGUUCGGAAUUACUGGGCAUAAAGCGCCCGUAGGCGGUCCGUUAAGUCAUGUGUGAAAUCCCCCGGCUCAACCGGGGAAUUGCGCCUGAUACUGGCGGGCUAGAGGUCGAUAGGGGUGAGCGGAACUCCAGGUGGAGCGGUGAAAUGCGUAGAUAUCUGGAGGAACACCGGUGGCGAAAGCGGCUCACUGGAUCGAAACUGACGCUGAGGUGCGAAAGCUAGGGGAGCAAACGGG
rnacentral:rRNA from 1 species